ACUAAGCGGCGGAAAAGAAACUAACCAGGAUUCCCCUAGUAACGGCGAGUGAACGGGGAUAAGCCCAGCACCGAAGCCUGUGUCCUAUUGGAUACUAGGCACUGUGGUGUUUAGGUGGUGACAUGUCAGCUUAUCUGCUGCCCCAAGUCCAGUAAUGAAUAUGGCUCUUAUAUUGGCCCAGAGAGGGUGAAAGGCCCGUGGGGGUAGUGGUGGUAGGUUGACUUGUUCCACCUUGGAGUCGGGUUGUUUGUGAAUGCAGCCCAAAGUGGGUGGUAGACUCCAUCUAAGGCUAAAUACUGGCACGAGUCCGAUAGCGAACAAGUACCGUGAGGGAAAGUUGAAAAGUACUCUGAAGAGAGAGUAAACAGUGCGUGAAACCGCUGAGAGGUAAACGGGUGUAGUCAAGCUGCAAGCCCUAGGGAUUCAGCCGAUCAGUGUAUUGUGUGUGCAUGAGCACAUUUUUGGUCUGUCGCGGUCUGCCUAAACUGGUGGGCUUGGCUCCUCGUAGCCGAGUGCUUGGGCGUCAAAUGGAUGCUAAGCGCCGUGCAGGAUCCAAAAGCUGGUCGGUGCACUUCCUUAGGGUGUAAGCCACGACCGCCGUUGCUGCCGGUCUGCCGGGAUCAACCUUCUUGGUUGGGCCAUUUGGCUCGGCCAGGUCGGGAUGGCAGGUGGCCAGGUGUGUGCGCUUGCGUACAUAUCGGGUGUUAUAGCCGAUCCUUGGGCGGUGCAUAAACUGUGCAGUUCGGUGGAGAUGUCGACGUGUUGGUUACGGCUUAUGUGCUAAAGUCUGCCGGCGUGGUCAACGUCUGGCUGCCUGUAGUCGAUGCAAAAUUCGGCCUGGCGGCGGCUUGUUCACGGUGUAGCGGGCGGCGGCGUAAGCUAGCCAUCGGCCUUGUGCCGGUUCGUCGUCUAUAGUCUGUGGCGUAGUGGUAGACGAUCCACCCGACCCGUCUUGAAACA
rnacentral:rRNA from 1 species